UACGGGGGGGGGGGCAAGCGUUGUUCGGAAUUACUGGGCGUAAAGGGCUCGUAGGCGGCCAACUAAGUCAUACGUGAAAUCCCUCGGCUUAACCGGGGAACUGCGUCUGAUACUGGAUGGCUUGAGUUCGGGAGAGGGAUGCGGAAUUCCAGGUGUAGCGGUGAAAUGCGUAGAUAUCUGGAGGAACACCGGUGGCGAAGGCGGCAUCCUGGACCGAUACUGACGCUGAGGAGCGAAAGCCAGGGGAGCAAACGGGG
rnacentral:rRNA from 1 species